ACCAGAAACAUGGAAUCUCAGUAUAUCUUCAGUGUUCUUAACCUGUCGUCGUCCUUGUCAUAAACACUAACAUCUGUUUGUUUGUCACAAGAACUUGAACGGUAGAGUCAUUUGAAUUAAUUAAAUUUCACUUUUAGGUUUCCUUGUGGAUUCCCAUUGUAUUUAUUAUAAUAUGUGCCUUUUUGAUUAUUGUGCCCGUAUAUGUCGCCCCAUAUGAGGUAGGCAUAGGUAUAUUGAUCACAUUAGUGGGUAUUCCCUUUUAUUAUGUGGGAGUUGUAUGGAAGAAGAAGCCUCAAUGUCUAGUUAAGUUUACAGCCUCUGUUACUCUACUGUGCGAAAAGCUGUUAGUAUCAGCUAAAGAAGAAAAGGAUCUGGUUUAUGUGAAUAGAGAGACCAAAGUAAAACGAAAUAUAUGGUGAUUAGUGCAAUAUUGUUUCAGUUUAUUGAUCAUUGCUUUUAUAUCCGUUAUCGGUUAUUAUUCGCUUUAAGUUUGAAUUCAAAUUUAGUGUGAAAGCAAAAAUAAUUUAUACUCUUAGCUUAGGUGCCACUAAAGUUACGUCGAAUGUUGUUAUCAUAUUAUUCAUUUAUACUGAAGUAAGAUAAUAUAUAUUUUUAAAAGUUUUUUUUUAAAUUAUGAAAGCACUCUUUUUGUAUGCCAUUUUUUUUUCCUAUAUAGCUAUUGUUUUUUAUGAGCAUUGCCGUAUAUCUGUAGUUUACACAUUCUGCAGCCGCCAUGACAAUUUAAAAUUUGAAAGAUUUCAUUAUGAAAGAAAAGUUAUUUUCAUAUAAAAAUUUAACUAUUUAAUCAUACAUUAAUCUACUCGCUUUAAACCAUUGUCGCGCAGUUAUUGCUUACAACUUUUAUUUAAUAUUAGUAAUUAAAAACUUCUCGUUUGAAUUUAAUUCACAUAGAGGUGUGCGUGUGUGUGUUAUAAAUGUAUACAAACGGAACGCAUUUAUAUUUCAAAUCAGUCUUCUUUAAUUGUUAAAUAUAAUAAAUUUGUUCGAAAAACAAAUUUGGGCAUUUUGUUACUGCAUAAAAAACUGAUUUUUACAUUUAUUCUUUGUCUUUGUAUAAGCGUAUUGUCAAUUUGGCCUCCAUUAAAGAUAUUAUAUUGCCUGUUCUUGCCUUUAAUGUAAUUAAGUUCCUUUCUCCCUUUUCGCUACAUCACGAUACCAAUUUUUUGGCUGCAAUUGACGUAACUUGGCAAGAACGGGGAGAACAGCAUCGAAAAAAAUUUGCUAACGAAUUUCAUAAUUUGAGUCUUGCUCAACGGUAUCAGAAAAAUUCAAUACCGCAAGCUUGUCCCGAACAAUUGAGCUUAGUCACUUUGGUUUCUAGUAUAUGCGUCAUGCCAAUGGACUCUUUUGUACAAACUCUCCAUCAGGUGGUACGAUUUCCUCCUCUUAUACACCGCGCCUUUUAAAAUUGAGGUCAGCGCUUUGGAACUGUUUUAUUUUUAUAUGAAGUUUGCUCAGCUUUGGGACUCCUGGUCAUCUUUACUUAUAUUGUUAAGAGACUGUCUUGCGGUUGACUGGUACAAAGUCCUUACAUUCGGUUCUGAGCGUGAAUAGCAAAUU